AGCUCAGUAGGAUAAAUUACCAAAGGAUUUUUCUCUAGAAAAUUUCAAUAGCAGUCUUGCUGAGUUUGCUGGAAAUGUGGCUAAAAUAUGAGCCCACGAGGAAAGCUUCUCCUUUAAGAACUUACCAAAACUAUAUUAGGAAUUUUCCCUACAAAAGUUUCA